UCUUCAUUUCUCGUGCUCUCUCACCUUUCAGAGAGGUGACAGAGUGCGAGAAAUGAAGAGA
rnacentral:pre_miRNA from 1 species